ACAGCAAGUGAUACCUCAAUCAUAGUGAGGAAGAUCGUGAAGAAAGACUUUCAGCAAGAAGGAGUUUCAGCAUUAAAGAAGGAGAGAAAAAGAUCCAGGUUCAGAUCUUGAUAAUACUCUGCGACAGAAAGGAUACAAUAGUUAGAGAUCUGAACGGAAGGAGUCAUAUUAUUCCGCUGCACCCAAUGUAAGGUUUACUAAGCUUUAUAUGUGUUUAUUUCAUCGUUUUAGAAAGUUCAUAUUUAGGGUGUUAAUCAACAUACUUGUGAGUAGAUCUAAGAUCCUGGUAAAAUAAUUUCCAACAUUGCUUCCAUGAAAUUACCACUUCUGCUGUUUAUAUUAUUAAAUUUGUUGUAAAAUAUUGUGUAUGUUAUUGACUUUUAUAUUGAAAUUCUUUAUAAUUUGAAUGGUCAUGCCAUUUAGGAUUGUUGUAAUGGUUGGAAUUAUUCAGAGUAAUGAGAAGACAUAACUUUUUGUGAUUUAUUAUUAUUAUUAUUUUUUUUUUGCAACUUUUUGGAUUUUUUUUUUGUUUUACUUUUCGGUUUGUUGCAAUUUUCGACAUUAUUUUGGUAUUGAUACGGAAAUCCUAUCAAUAGUUGUGUUACAAUAUAGGUAUUCUUCUGAAAUACUUGUUUAUUAUUAUUAUUAAAACACACUUAGUAAUAUUUAUUAUUAUUAUUAUUGUUAUUAUUAUUAUUAUUAUUUCAGCAUAAAUAGUUGUAGAUUUACACCCUAUUUCUGUUAUGAAUUACUUGAUGGAUUAAUAGUUGUGCAUAAAUGCUAAUAAUUCAUAUUACUAAGUUUUUUAAAAUGAAUGUACAUUCAAUUUUCUGAUUUUGAUAAUUUUAUAUUACUUUGAAUUUUUCGUCUUUGUUCUGUUACUUUGCUAUAUAUUAUUCACCGCUUCUGUUUUCAUACAUGAUAUAAAUCUGUGUUAAAUUGUAUAAGGUGAAGAGUAAACAUAAUAUGAUGUGUAUGUGUUUUAUUCUGAAGUUCUCUUUCCGUCAUGUAUAAUUGCUUAGCACUGUUCAGGUACAUAAAUUCGGUGUUCCAACAUUGGAGAAGAUAAAGCAUUAUUCAUUCUUUAAUUGCCUGUAUAACCCCUGGUCUGCUUGAUUUUCGCCUUACUAUUUGUACUAUAAAUAGCCAUCUAAUGCUGUACAUUCAUUUUUUUUCAAUCCAAGUAAUAGUGAUUGAACUUUCUCUUUCACAGUAUGUCUAACUGAACUUAAAGAUUGUUUGAUGCUUCAAGGCUUAAGUUUUGGUAGCUUAUUAUCUUUUAUUAUUCCAAUUGGUUUAGAUAGUUUUUGUUCUGUCCAGCUUGAUUUCUGUUAUCCAGAUUCAGAUGCCUUGGAUAUGUUUCUCAACUGGUAUCUUGGUAUGAUAACAAGUGGGACUUUGUCGGGCUCGAAGGCUUGCACAAGGUCAGUCAAUCAAGAUACAGCUAUUUGCUUCAUUUCCUGUUCAAAUUGAUGGGGAACCCUGGUUUCAGCAAUCAUGUACAUUGGCUAUAUCUCAUCAUGGCCAGGCUUUCAUGUUGAAGAGGGCUGUGGAGGAACCACUUGGUCAUGCAGCAGCCAUAAUUACAGAUGUCCUUGACAAUGCAGAGACCAACAGUGUUAUCAAUGCUUCACAGAAGCGGGCUCUCCUUCAAGAAAUGGCAUUGAGGCUGUCUUAAAAGUCUUGUUGUGCACUAGUAGGAGUGACUUUUGUGGUUGUGAUUUUUUUUCAUGAGAUUUAUAUUCUCUUCGUCGCGGAAUCGACACAUGUAACUUUUUUUCCUUUCUUUUACGAAGAAAUAUUUUACUGAUGUUGAUCACUCAAUGCUUUUAAUUGAAGCAUGAUUGUACAUGAACCUUGUUCAACAUCCAUGGAAAUGAAAUUUUGUUUAGCGCUUUUUUUA